CACGUAGGGGACGAGCGUUGUCCGGAUUCAAUGGGCGUAAAGCGCGCGUAGGCGGCUCGGAAAGUCGGUCGUGAAAUGCCGGGGCUCAACCCCGGGACUGCGUCCGAUACUCUCGAGCUGGAGGCAGGUAGGGGAGAUCGGGAAUUCCUGGUGUAGCGGUGAAAUGCGCAGAUAUCAGGAGGAACACCGGUGGCGAAGGCGGCUUCCUGGACCGACACUGACGCUGGAGACGCGAAAGCCGUGGGGAGCAAACAGG
rnacentral:rRNA from 1 species